rnacentral:rRNA from 1 species
UACGUAGGGUGCGAGCGUUAAUCGGAAUUACUGGGCGUAAAGGGUGCGCAGGCGGCGUCGCAAGUCAGGCGUGAAAUCCCCGGGCUUAACCUGGGAAUGGCACUUGAAACUACGAUGCUGGAGUAUGGCAGAGGGAGGUGGAAUUCCACGUGUAGCUGUGAAAUGCGUAGAGAUGUGGAGGAACACCGAUGGCGAAGGCAGCCUCCUGGGCCAAUACUGACGCUCAUGCACGAAAGCGUGGGGAGCAAACAGG